rnacentral:rRNA from 1 species
UACAGAGACUGCGAGCGUUAUUCGGAUUCACUGGGCGUAAAGGGUGCGCAGGCGGCCAAGUGUGUUAGGCGUGAAAGCCUGGGGCUUAACCUCAGAAUUGCACCUAAAACUACAUGGCUAGAGCAUUGGAGAGGGUAGCGGAAUUCACGGUGUAGCAGUGAAAUGCGUAGAUAUCGUGAGGAACACCAGAGGCGAAGGCGGCUACCUGGACAAUUGCUGACGCUCAGGCACGAAAGCGUGGGGAGCAAACGGG